CACUCAGGAUGGAGUUCAGUGGUCCUAUCAUGGCUCAUUAUAGCCUCAAACUCCCAGGCUCAAGCAAUCCUACCAUGUCAGCCUUCCCAGUAGCUGGAACUACAGGCUGGAGUACAGUGGCACAACCUCUGCUCACUGCAGCCUCCACCUGCCAGGCUCAAGCAAUUCUCCUGCCUCAGCCUCCCGAGUAGCUGGGAUUACAGGUGGACAGUCUAGUUGCAGGAAAACAAGCUCAGAGAUCCCACUGAGUCUACAUUAUACUGGAUCUACCAUGAAAGACUUGUGAAUCCAGGAAGAGAGACUGACUGGGCAACAUGUUAUUCAGGUGGGAACAUCCAGUUGCAGGAAAACAAGCUUAACACGCCCACUGAUUCUACAUUAUGCUCCUACCUCCCGGCAGCCUCUCCAGGCCCAGAACUUUCUCCAGUCAGCCUCUACAGACCAAGCUCAUGACUCUCAAUGGCCUAUUUAGGCCCAUACCCUACGUCACGGCAGCCUCCGCAGAUGAGGCUACUGCCUCACAACAGCCUCCACAGGCA
rnacentral:lncRNA from 10 species